UACGUAGGGGGCGAGCGUUGUCCGGAGUUACUGGGCGUAAAGCGCACGCAGGCGGUCUGCUAAGUUUGGAGUGACAGUUGGUGGCUUAACUGCCAAAGUGCUUCGAAAACUGACAGACUUGAGGGCUCCAGAGGGACACGGAAUUCCGGGUGGAGUGGUGAAAUGCGUAGAGAUCCGGAGGAACACCAAAGGCGAAGGCAGUGUCCUGGGGAGUACCUGACGCUCAGGUGCGAAAGCCAGGGGAGCAAACGGG
rnacentral:rRNA from 1 species